UGGACGCCUACGGCACCGUGCAGCCCCACACCCUGCUCAGGCAGCACCUGGACUAUGGCCACUGGUAUGACAGGAGCAGGCUGUCCCUGAAGGAGAUCAGCAACGUGCAGUACGUGUCCUGCAUGAACCCCACUGCAGGGAGCUUCACCAUCAACCCCCGGCUCCAGCGUCACUUCUGUAUCUUCGCUCUCUCCAACCCUGACCAGGACUCCUUGUCCAGGAUCUACAGCACCAUCUUGGUGCAGCACCUGGC
rnacentral:lncRNA from 1 species